rnacentral:rRNA from 1 species
GACGAACGCUGGCGGCGUGCCUAAUACAUGCAAGUCGAACGCUUCUUUCCUCCCGAGUGCUUGCACUCAAUUGGAAAGAGGAGUGGCGGACGGGUGAGUAACACGUGGGUAACCUACCCAUCAGCGGGGGAUAACACUUGGAAACAGGUGCUAAUACCGCAUAACAGUUUAUGCCGCAUGGCAUAAGAGUGAAAGGCGCUUUCGGGUGUCGCUGAUGGAUGGACCCGCGGUGCAUUAGCUAGUUGGUGAGGUAACGGCUCACCAAGGCCACGAUGCAUAGCCGACCUGAGAGGGUGAUCGGCCACACUGGGACUGAGACACGGCCCAGACUCCUACGGGAGGCAGCAGUAGGGAAUCUUCGGCAAUGGACGAAAGUCUGACCGAGCAACGCCGCGUGAGUGAAGAAGGUUUUCGGAUCGUAAAACUCUGUUGUUAGGGAAGAACAAGGACGUUAGUAACUGAACGUCCCCUGACGGUAUCUAACCAGAAAGCCACGGCUAACUACGUG